CUACGGAGGGUCCGAGCGUUAUCCGGAAUCAUUGGGUUUAAAGGGUCCGUAGGCGGGAAUCUAAGUCAGUGGUGAAAUCUUGCAGCUCAACUGUAAAAUUGCCAUUGAUACUGGAUUUCUUGAAUUAGUGUGAAGUGGUUAGAAUGUGUAGUGUAGCGGUGAAAUGCAUAGAUAUUACACAGAAUACCAAUUGCGAAGGCAGAUCACUAACACUAUAUUGACGCUAAGGGACGAAAGCGUGGGGAGCGAACAGGAUUAGAAACCCCGGUAGUCC
rnacentral:rRNA from 1 species